rnacentral:rRNA from 1 species
GGACGUUACGGCGUCGAGCGGCGGACGGGUGAGUAAUGCCUGGGAAUUGCCCUGAUGUGGGGGAUAACCAUUGGAAACGAUGGCUAAUACCGCAUAAUAGCUUCGGCUCAAAGAGGGGGACCUUCGGGCCUCUCGCGUCAGGAUAUGCCCAGGUGGGAUUAGCUAGUUGGUGAGGUAAUGGCUCACCAAGGCGACGAUCCCUAGCUGGUCUGAGAGGAUGAUCAGCCACACUGGAACUGAGACACGGUCCAGACUCCUACGGGAGGCAGCAGUGGGGAAUAUUGCACAAUGGGCGCAAGCCUGAUGCAGCCAUGCCGCGUGUGUGAAGAAGGCCUUCGGGUUGUAAAGCACUUUCAGUCGUGAGGAAGGUAGUGUAGUUAAUAGCUGCAUUGCUUGACGUUAGCGACAGAAGAAGCACCGGCUAACUCCGUGCCAGCAGCCGCGGUAAUACGGAGGGUGCGAGCGUUAAUCGGAAUUACUGGGCGUAAAGCGCAUGCAGGUGGUUAGUUAAGUCAGAUGUGAAAGCCCGGGGCUCAACCUCGGAACUGCAUUUGAAACUGGCUGACUAGAGUACUGUAGAGGGGGGUAGAAUUUCAGGUGUAGCGGUGAAAUGCGUAGAGAUCUGAAGGAAUACCAGUGGCGAAGGCGGCCCCCUGGACAGAUACUGACACUCAGAUGCGAAAGCGUGGGGAGCAAACAGGAUUAGAUACCCUGGUAGUCCACGCCGUAAACGAUGUCUACUUGGAGGUUGUGGNCUUGAGCCGUGGCUUUCGGAGCUAACGCGUUAAGUAGACCGCCUGGGGAGUACGGUCGCAAGAUUAAAACUCAAAUGAAUUGACGGGGGGCCCGCACAAGCGGUGGAGCAUGUGGUUUAAUUCGAUGCAACGCGAAGAACCUUACCUACUCUUGACAUCCAGAGAACUUACAGAGAUGCUUUUGGGCCUUCGGGGA